AACCCCUGUGACAUACCUUAAUGUUGCCUCGGCGGAUCAGCCCGCGCCCCGUAAAACGGGACGGCCCGCCAGAGGACCCAAACUCUAAUGUUUCUUAUUGUAACUUCUGAGUAAAACAAACAAAUAAAUCAAAACUUUCAACAACGGAUCUCUUGGUUCUGGCAUCGAUGAAGAACGCAGCAAAAUGCGAUAAGUAAUGUGAAUUGCAGAAUUCAGUGAAUCAUCGAAUCUUUGAACGCACAUUGCGCCCGCUGGUAUUCCGGCGGGCAUGCCUGUUCGAGCGUCAUUUCAACCCUCAAGCCCCCGGGUUUGGUGUUGGGGAUCGGCUCUGCCUUCUGGCGGUGCCGCCCCCGAAAUACAUUGGCGGUCUCGCUGCAGCCUCCAUUGCGUAGUAGCUAACACCUCGCAACUGGAACGCGGCGCGGCCAUGCCGUAAAACCCCAACUUCUGAAUGUUGACCUCGGAUCAGGUAGGAAUACCCGCUGAACUUAAGCAUAUC
rnacentral:rRNA from 1 species